rnacentral:sRNA from 1 species
AUCCAGCCCCGAUAAAGCCGAUAUCCUCGAAGAGAUAAAGGCGAAAGCGGGACUAAAG